AAAAUCAAAAAAUAUUUGGAUUUUUUGCAGCUUCAAUGGCUAUUUUCUUAGUUACCUGGUUAUAGUGGGAAUUUCAUAUUAAGUUCACAUACAUAUUCAAAAUAUGAGGUUUUGCACAAUUAAAUUUGGACAAACCUUCUUAUUCAAUUAUUCACUAUUCAUUUGUGGGUUUCCAUAAUCAAGUAGUCAAAUUACCAUUGAUACAGGAUUUCUAAAUAUUGAAAAAAUUGAAACUUGCCACCGUCUCUAGCAAAUAGAGAUUUUAAUUUUAAAAACUUUGUUGCUGUUGUUGUUGUAGUACCAGAUUUUUAACCAAGCACUUUAUUUUUAGAUAUUUUACGUUACGGGCCAAGUUACUGAUAUCUCAGUAGAUGUUACAGCUCUAAGUAAGGGAGUAGUGUCAUCCCUAUUUCCCAGGGAUAUAAAAUCUCCUCACUCUAACCUCCCAUAUUUUCAGGCCAUUCUGUUCCAUUCAGUGACUCCCAGACUGAGCAGAACAACUUAUGGUCUGAAAAGAAAACUAGAAAGUUAUUCAUCUUUGUUUCAAAAGUAAUAAAAAUGAUGAACUGGAGCAGAAACAAUGCAAUGUCAUAGGGGAGAUUAUAUUGGAGCUGAAUAUUGAACUUGGUUCUCCUGGGUCUGUGCUAACCAUGCUAACACCUUACCCUCCAAUGCACUCUACCCGAGGCAGCUUCCAACAAAAGAAAGGCAAAACUUCUUGAGAUUUUAGACAAUGUUAGAGCUCAUGAAAUGCUCCCGACUAAAUGCUACCUUGUCAAACUUAGAACUUUGUAAAAGAGUCACUUGCACUGAACUCCUUUUAAAAUUCAGGUAAAUAAAAGUGGUCUGAUUAAGACACUGGUCAAGGGUUUUUCCCAUGGAAUGUUUACAAAAUUAUAAACUAGAGGCAAUCAGAAGUGUAGGUUCCUGAUGAUUAUGAAAAAUAGAUCAUUUGUAGAAUUUUCACUCAGAGGUCCUGUUUUUUGCAAUCUGACUUUGCAAAUACAGCCUUGUGUUCCUCUUCAUUCACAAAACUUGUGUGAAGAGUGGGCUUCCAACUAGCCUUAUGCCAAGACAAAAUUCUGUCAUGCACCAAGUUGCUUCAUUCCUGGAAAAAUUCUUCUGCAUGGGUGAGGUAAUCCCAAACACCCAUCUACUCUGCAAGCAAUAACAAUGCAGGAGUAUCAUGUGUGGGAGGUGGAAUCUGCAUCAGAUUGCCAAAACUGCUGUGUCUUUGCUUGGUAAUCCUCAAAGAGCAUGGCAUUUGGUGGAUAUCUGAGAGGACAUGAGAAGCUUGUUCAUAGCUUAGCCUCUGUCUUUGUAGAUCAAAGAGCAAACUUGUUUGGCUUGCUCUGAAACACACACAAUCUGAAAAUUAACAUUUUCUUAGGAAAUUAAAAGGACUAAGUAUUUGUAUUAGAAAACUAUAUCAGUCUUAACCUCUAUAUUCUACCAGCAUAAUGUCUUCAUCAGGCUAAAAUAUUCUCUGCAUCCAGAUGAGGAAUGUGGCUGGGCAAUGGGGAAUUCUGCAGGAGGAAAAAGAAUGUUAUUUUCCUUUUUUUCCUUCAUAUACCAGUUCAUAUUAUCUGUCUCCAUGCUUUCUUUCUCGAGAGCAGCAGGAGAAAUAAACAAAACAAACAAAGAGAAGAAAUGUAGCCCUUAGUAAAUCUAGUGGUACCUAACCAGAGAAAGGUUUUCAUUCCAAGUAGGAAUUGUAAUUUCUCUUAUAUAAAGCCCUGAAGUGGUGCAGAGAAGAUGUUGCCACUUCAAUUUGGUAAACACACAUACAGGCUUUUUUCUUCCUUAAGCCAUCAAGAAUAGAUACAGGUUUGUAAAACUUUGUCUUGUAAUCUUUGCAAGUACACAUGCAAGACAAAUUUUAACAGCUGAGACUGCCUAGACUCACUUCAGCAGACUGCAGCUUUCCACAAAGGCGUUCUACAGCAGCUCAAUAAGGUAAUCCAAAACCAGCAGGAGGUGAUCUGCUUUUUUUUACAUUCAAAAAAUAACUGCACAAAAUGAAGUUAAUUGUUCUCACAUUUGCCCAGUUUUCAGAUGAAUUCCUGUAUGAUUUCUCUUUAGAGCAUCCUGAAUGAGAAUCAAACGCAUGGUUUCACACAGCAGCAAUGAAUCCAAGCAAGCUGGUCUGCCUCUCAACAGUGGUGAAAAUGGGCAUACUAUCUUGGAACAUGCUAUGCAGCUGCUAUAUAUGUAUUAUAUGUCCACAUGCCUUCAGUCAGGGUAAGGGCGGGUUAUUUACAGCAGGAGGUGCUUGUGAGAGGUAUCAGUUGUAGCAGGUACACAAGCCCUUCUCCCACUCCCACACCAGGCCGGGGGUCGCACAGAAUGCCUCCGCAGGUCCUUCCUGUCCUUCUCUCAGCUCCUUCUCAGAGGAGGUGGGAUCCAAAGCAGCACUCCAGUGCAGCAGCUUAGGGUCCUGAGGAAGUCAUCAGCUCUCCAUGGAUGUCUGCCAGAACUGAGAGUGGCUCCUGUGGAUGUUCGCAUUGCACAAAAUCCAGCUCCCAUAGGAAACACCAAAAGUGAAUGCCUUAAAAGCAACUUUAUGGAGAUUUUUUCCAGGCAGUCUUUUGGGCAGAAAUACUUCUGAGAUUCUGCAGAGGCUUUUCUUGCAAAAAAUGUUCAAAAUAUUCACCUCAUUGCCUGAGAGAACUGCUCUUUACUAUCCAAGAGCUGUUCAUGAGUGGAUCUGUGACUCUGUGCCUAUCUCCUCCCAUGAGCAUUUGUAUUUUUUCUCAGCUAUUAACACCUUGGUUAAUUUUCCAAGAUUAGAAGCAAGGCCUUAAGAAUGACAAAUGACAAACACUACUGAAAAUAAAAGGGGAGAAUGAAGAAGACAGGCCCCCAAAACAAUAUCUGCUUUGCUGGGAUUUGAUUCUGCUGAGGAAUACUUUCUAGUGGAUAAGAAGAAGUCAUCACCUUUUCCAGAUGAUAAGAACCCAUAAUAGCUGUGCUCUCUGAGUCUCUUCUGAGUAUCUGCUCUUUACUUUCUUCCAAAUGAGUUCCUUGUAAAAAUGUCACAUUUUAGUGCUGCUCAAAGGAUACUUAAUAUUCUUCUUUUCUUAAAAGAGCUGUGUAUUCCCUGACAUCUGAGAUUUCUCUAAUCAGCUCUGAAAAUGGCCCUUCUUCUACAUUGUUUUUCCUACUAAAUUAGAAGGAAACACACAAAAAACCCUUCUAAACUGUAUAUUUCCUACUUGACAUGGGGAAAUAAUGAGCUUUGGAAGCAACAUUUUAAUUACUGAGAUUCUUCUGUUGACUAAAAUAUUACUAAAGAUAAAGGAUUUCCUGUAGUUAGGUUUUUAAAAAGUACUUACAAAUCUAAGCAUUGUACAGAAUCUGACUCACUAUCUUAGAAGCACCAAGCACGCCACUAUGAACUUCCUGCUCAUGAUAUGGAACAUUAUCAGGUUUAAACUGGUUUUAGUGGCAUUUUUCAAACAGUGAUGAAAUAAAACCUGUAAGAAAACAGAAUGUGUAGAUCAGUGGAAAAUACUAUAUUUCACAGCGUUUUACUCCAAACAGGGAUAAAAUGUAAAAUCAGAAUUAUAUUUAUGCAAUAAUAAUAUGAUUCCUUAAUAUUGGAACACCUACUGUUUUAUAUAAGAACAUUAGAAAAUAUUGAAAUGAAAAAUAUUGCCUUAAAAUGGACAUGUUAGCAUUCAAAUCUACAGUGAUUCAAAAUUAUAGUUGGACUGAGAAUUUUGUCUCAUAAAAAUGAGCCAUUUUUCUUUACUUAUAUUUAAUUAAAUUUAAUAAAUUCAAAUAAAUUUUGUGUUAAAAAUGGUGAAACAUGUUGUACUAACAUUUAAAAAUUAAUAAAACUAUAGUCAGAAAAUGCUCAAAUGAAAAUAAUUAUGAUCUAUUUUAAAGUAAAAUAAUUCAUUAAAUACAUGCAGAGGUGCAAGUUUUGUAAUACAUUUUGAACCUGUAAAACUUAAAUAGGGCAGAAUUUUGCAUGUGUGCAAUUUAAAAUGGUGUGAACAUAACUCUUAAUUUCCAAAGCUGCAGGUUAGGACAAUAAUUGUAUUUAACAUUGCUUAUGAAGGAACAUAAGCACUGCUGAGUGUGUUGAACUAAUUUUAACUGAUUUUUUCCAAAAAGUCAAGUUAUUUUCCUUCCCUCCACAAGUAUAUCUAGAGCUCUGGAAGGCACAACACUCCAGCUCCAUUACAUACGUCAUUACAAAAGCCCUCAAAGACACCAAGCACAGGAGCCACAGCUCCUGUGUAUGGAUGUAUUGAUACAUCCCAUGACAAUCUGUUGGAGCGAAGAACAAAAAGCAGGACAGUGAAGAAUGCACAGGAGGAUCAUGGAUCUUUGCAGAUUCUGCUAUUCUGCAGUACAAAGUGCAAGAAGAUCAACACCUACAAAGUUUGCUUGAGUUCUAAAAUAAACAGCAAACUAGGUUUCCUACUAUCCUGCAGACUGUGAUGAAAUUCCCUCCAUGGAUCCUAACAAAAAAUUCCAUGUUGCUUCCCCGGAAAAAUGAAUGAGGAUUGUAUCAAUAGUCUUAAAUAAUAACAAUAACAUAGUUGAAACAAAUUAUAGAUUCCAUUUGAAUAUUUUAAUAAUUUUAGCUAAUAUAUUUUAAUUAUUUGUUCAUUUGUUUGAAAAUAUAAAAAUUGUAAAAAUAAAAAUUUUGCAAAUAUUUUUUCCUUAAUUGUUAUAUUUGUGUUUAUGAACAGGUGGUACUCUAUAUGCGCCAUAAUUUUAAGAGUUACUUGGUUCCUACCAGAACAGCUCCAUUUUGGUAAGUAUGAAAAGCAAGACAAAAAGCAAAAUCUUUGUGGUUUAUUUCAGACUUUACAAGUUCUAGACAUUGAAUUUCUUGUAAGCUGAAGGGAAAAGGAUGAUGAAAAUUGCAAAGAUCAUAAGGAUGUUUGGUCUGUCUGAAUGAAAAUGUCACAAUUCCCAAAAGACAGGAAAUCUCAAGCUUAUAAAGAAUUCACCCUCAGCAAAAGAGAUGAAUACUUUAAAGACUCAUCAGCACCUCUCCUGUGACAUGCUCUAGCCUUAAAAUGAACUUUGGUUUGGCAGAGCUGCAGAAAAAUUGUGUAAGUCCUAGAGGAGGAGCAGUGAGUGGGUUAGUAAAAGGGAGAAUAGGCAUCAAGCAGGGAAAAGCAGAGGCAUUUAUACAUAUUAUUUAUUCCAUAUAUCUAAGAUAACCUAAUUCUACCCAGAACCUGCCACAAAGCACUGUGGGGGAAUCUGUGGGCACCCUCAGGGCCUGAAGUUGCUGUUUCUCUUUUAUUGAGUUCUUUUCCAGUCUGCUCUUUCUUCAAUUGCUGAUACACAGCACUUAAACAUGUGCAGCAAUGGGAACCUGAGUUUAAGUGAGCAAUGAAUGGGUCCCUAAAAUUUUAUUAGGUUUGUCACUUCAGGGAGGGGUGAACAUACAUUUCCAUACAAAUGCACUUAUCAGAAGCAGAAGAGGUGAAGAAUAGCACAUUAGACCAAAGAAGGAACUAAAUGGAUAAACUUCUCUGAGGACUUCUUUUUCUUUUGCUAAGCAUCAGAUCAUAUCAGCUUCUCUUCUUGCUGCUUGUAAGCACUUUCAAAUCAUAUUGACAGUAUAAAGCACUCCAGUGUUAUAUUGAAUAGAUUCUGUACCUCUUUAAACUUUGAAUCUACUCAAAGGAAUAAUUCUUCAGGAACAAUGCUGCAUUUCUUCCACCCUCUCCUCAUCUCCAGAGCCAGACUAUUUGCUGCAUGAUGCUCUGUAGCUCAGUCCGAGCUAUCAGUGAUCUAGAACCAUUACAGCAAUCAGAUGUGAUCUGCUCUAUCACCAGCAAAUAUGUUGCCAGAAAAAUUUCAGAUUACCACAAUUCUUAUACUAAGUUGGUGAAAUUGUACAUGUUAUUUAAAGCAUGCCUUGAUUUUCAGUUCUGGAGUUGUAUUUUCAAGCGGGCAAUCUGUGUGGCUUAAUUAGCAAUUUUGUUUUAUUGAGCAAGUCCAUACUUUGCACAAAUUAUGAAGGUUGAAUACAAAACAUCAAGGUUGCAUUUUUAGCAAGAAAAUUUUGCACAUGUAGCCGAAAGCCAAAAUUUUAAGCUGAUUUUUACUGCAUGAUGAAUUAAUCAAAAAUUAGCUGUGGCCAAAGAGAAAAUUUUGAUCAUUCAUCCUUAUGGCUGAAAUGUCUACUGACCUCUCUCUCCUGUGCCAAAGCAGCUCCUAUUACUGUGUUCCCACGACUCCCUCUGGUGGCAAACCUCUCAUCCAAAGUGCCGGACAGCAGCUUCCCUUGGUUUUCUCUCUGAUGUUUCAUGGGGAUUAAGACACAUGCUGGUGGAUUCUCAACUCAUUCAGGCAGUGGAAAUCCCAUUAAAGUCUUUUGCUUGAGUUUUAAGAACUAUAUUUUUUUCUUAAUUCCUAUAAGAACUACCUCUUCAACCUAAUAAAGAGACUAUCAUUACAUAUGCAUAAUGUUGAAAAGACUGUAUAAUAAUGCUAAUUUGAAUAAAUAAUUUGUAAAUACAAAUAAGAUUUCUGGUUUACAUACUUCCAUGUAGCCCACAACUAUAUAUACACUUCAGAAAUGGUCCUGGUUUUUCUCAGGCCAGGCUACUAAGGGCAAGACCCGCAUCACAAAUACAAAAACAGGACUUGACAUUCCCAGUUGAAUGUCAUGCUAGGAACAUUAAAUGUUUAUUUGCUUCCAAAGUGGGGAAAUUUACAGCACUCAGUUAUAUAAAGGAACCUUAAUGCCUCUUAACCCACUUCUACUUUAAAGGUUUUUCCUUCCCCUCCACUGGAGAGAGAGCUGCCCACCUGCUGCAGCCCUCGCAGCCCAUCCUCCCUGCCUGCUGCAUAGCAAUGUGGCAGUGGAGCCUGGCAGUCUCUGUGUAUAAGGAAUCCCAGAAACCUGGUAGGAAUCUGAUGACAGAAGACCUGCCAUAGCCUGGCUGGCCAACCAAACUGAUUUAGUACCAAAAUCAUCUUACAUAAUUGAGUCACUUUAAUGAUGGCUAAAAUAAUUUGUUAAUGUUGAAUUACAACUUCUUUUCACUUGUGGCUUUUUCUUUCUUGUGCCCAUCUGACCUCAUCAAGCAAUGCCAAUGGCUAAAAUAUUACAAGAAAUCACGGGUUUUAAAAAAAAAUAAUCUCCCUAAAACUUGCUGUUGAAAAGAAGAAAACACUUCUGUUUAUCCUGCUGUCAAAUAAAAUGUGUUUAUUGGUUACAUUACAGAGAUCAGAUCAUUAACAGGGGUUUUUGCAAGGGCACUGCAUUGGUAAGUCACACACCAUACCCAUACCAAACAUGUAAUUCCUCCUCUCAUCAUGAAUAAAUCAUCUUAGCUGAGAACAAAAGGAUGAUGUGCAAAAGCAGCAUGACUGACCCAAAAGGCAGAAUGGUAAGUGGUAUGUCUGAGGAAUGAAGGGAGAAUGAGUUACAAAGCACUGUAACAGGAUGAUGAUACACUGGUGCUCAAAAUAGAGCAGGCUGCUGUUAAACCAUAGUGUGCAUUACUGGGAGGCUAAGGAGGUCUCUUUAUGUUACCUCUGCUAAACAGGCUCCUACUAUUUUUAACAUUUUAAUUCAGGUUAUAAUUCAGAUCUCUCUUUCAGACACACAUGCGUCCCUGCUGAUAUGUAUGCCCACGAUAUGUGUGACAUAAUUUUCCAUUGCCUAAAGUGGAAAUUUUUAUUCCAAGGCUGUUGUUAUUCUAAAGAAAGGUAGUUCCAGUUACAUGAUCUUAGUGAAUUCAUUGUAACUAAAACUCUGGUCUUUAUUCUGUAAGUAUCUAUGCAUGGGCUUUUUAUGCUUGAAUUUUAUUUAUUAUAAAUGAAUCAUACCUUUGCAGCUCCCAUGAAGAAGAAGCAUGCCUUCUCCAGUGACAUGGAAAGAGAAUAAUGGUGCAAAUGGAACCUGAAUGCAUCAGUCCUGUCCCUGUCUGACAAAAUAGAGUAAACCCUUGCAACAUGCUUUGUCCUCUUCAGUUUGCCCUGUAUUACAACUCCUUAGAGAAAAUUGAGGACUACCAACAAUAAAAAUAAAGAUCAGUACCAGAGAUUAUUCCUAGAGCCCAGUCCCAUACCAAUGUCAUAAUCAUUUGGUUGCAUUUUUCCAUCCUGAAACUUUUUCUUUGUCCAAGUGGAUAUUUUCUACCUGCAGAGUGAUUCAACUACAGCUGAAGGCAGAGCCUGCUAAAUCAGCUGAAAGAAAGAGCACUCUCCUGGUAGAGAGACAGUGUGGAUCCAAACAUCUACAAAUGCAGGAAUGGGUAGAAAUCAGAAUUUCCUGUCCCUGGGGGAAUAUUCUUUAGAUGGACUAUUCUUAAAUGACACCCUCUGUGGAGACUCUAUUCCUUUCUACAAUCCCAGCCUCUCCUUGCCACUGUGAGUCAUGUUUGGAGUCCAUUGUUUUCCACCACCAAGAACUGCAGGAACAAGUAUCUGCUACGUUUCUCCCCUCUCCCUCCUCACUACUACUUAUCUCUAGGAGCAGGCAAAACAUGUCUGUCAUCUCCUGAGGCUGAGCAACUGUUCUUGAGACAUUAUAGCUUACUAUAAACAGAAACCUUAAUUUUUCAGUAUGCCACCUGUCUGACAGAAGGGAAUGAGGAACAAUUGCUGGCUGUGGAUUUCACAGGGAGCUGGAAAAGACAAUGAAAAAUGAACCAAGUUAUGUUUGAUACAGGAAAAUGAAA